CCUGUAUUUUGACAAAUCCCAAAUUCUUCCGCCUGUUAAACAGUCAAUAAAUUCACACCAACUGCCAGAAUAUCUCAAGUAACCAUUCUCAACUCUAGUUUCUCAAUUUUAACUAGAUAUCAGAGCAUUUUCUAAGGCUUUCGAGGUUUCAAGGAUUUUCUUCAAAACUCUACCUUUCUUGAUGGCGCGGAAGCUAUGUAUGGCCCGGUGGUGGAUCCCGCGUACUUCUACGGCCUGGGGGCGUAAAACAGAUUGAAAAUGUGAGUGGACAAAAAUAAUGCUCUUGAAAACAAUUUUUAUAAGCAUAAUAACCCCAUAACAAUAACUUGAUAAGUAAGGCUAAGGUUCACCUGUGUUUAAUAUAAGGUUUCAUCUGAAAAUAAAUAUAAUCGUAAGCCUAUAGCUUCGUAACACUGAACAAUUAUAUAAAGAUACAAAAGGCGCAAAUAUCAAAGAAACUGGUUUGAAAUAGUUGAAAAUCAUAACUGAAUAAAAGAGUUGAAAAUCCUUUGAAAAUACCACCUACUUGUACCCCUGUCAUAACCGUCAAUUCCCCUGGCAGGUCUCGGGCGCCACGCAGUCCACCCGAGCCGCAAACUGGCGAAAUCAGGGGACUAUGAUCAGCCUGAUCUUGCCGGCAGAUUCCUCGAUGACACCAAGUCAGCUUGAGUCGCUCUGGCAGGAUGCAGGGGACCGUAGUCAGCCUGAUCCGCAAUCCUGGCAGGUCUCGGGGACACAGAGUCAGCCGAGCCGCAAUCCUGGCAGGUCUCGGGACACCAAGUCUGCCGAGCCGCAAAUCCUGGCACUCACGGUCCGAGCGUCCCCGUAACUCGUGAGGCAAAGUCAAGUGCACUGACAUAAACUGAAAUCGGACUGGAUGUCCGUAGACAUCGGUCCAACUCUGGGUAAUCACCGUAAAUAAAUGGGUACGAGGUGGUUUUAAAAUAAAUUCCUUUAGAAAAAUCUGAUUAAUAAUUGAAAUCUCAAAUUGUGCUGCUAUUUCAUCUGCCAUAAGCCUCAAAAUCUGUUUUCUAUAACUCUUAAGCAUGUAAAAGUAAGCAGCACACAACUCAUAGAACUAUUUCUGUAUUAAUCAUGCUCGGAAACACAAUAAAGCUUACUCAAGAUCAAAUAAGGAAUUUAGUCAAAUAAACCCGUUUAUAAAAACUCUUUUAUAUAAAAUCAAUAUAAAAUCACUUAUAAAAUCUUAUUUAUGGAAAACCUCUAUAUAACUCAUUUAUAUAAAAUAAUUCAUGAAUGAAAGUCCACUCACAGAUGGUCCGAGCUACUUUGACCCUUCGAAGGUCUCUUUUGCAAUCCUGUCGGGCUCCUGGUGCCUGAUUACCCAUAAAGAUUAAAUUAAUAAACUGCUCAAUAAAAAGAAUUUCAACUAAACACCCUGCCCCCGGCUCCUAGAAAUACGUGCACUCGUUUUAGGUUACUUCUAUGCCCACCUUAGCUUUUUGGGACAGUUAGACCGGCCUUAAGAGACCCGAAACCUAAAUAAGCGGUAAGCUGCCAGAUCGGCCGAUUCGGGACCCCGUGGGUCCACGGCCUCCGAUGGCCAAUCUGGGCUCCUCUGAAGGUUCCUUACAGAGAAGGAACCAUGUUCUGUGAUUUUGGUCCGAAACGGACGGUCGGAUUAGCCAAAAUCGCGUUAUCGCUUAAAAUCCAAACCCUAGCCCCAGGGUUCGCGAUUUCGGAGUAUCCGGGACUCCGAUUCGCAAUCCGUUGAAUCCUACACGAUCCUGAGAUCAUGUAGACCGACAUAUCCGGAAUCCAGCGCGAUCCAAUUAUUUGACGACACUGCACCCACGGAUCGCGCGAUAUGGAAAAUUCGUUCGGGGCUCAAACGGACUCCGAAUCUAGAUCCGCAAAAUCCUACGCGCUCGUGACGACACGAGGGUCACAAAACUGCACAGAAUUACUCCACCACCCUCGCCCAAGCGUCCCAGCACGCGCGGUCAGAUUUGGGUGUCUUAAGCGUUUUCGGGUGGCCGAAAAAUCUCGGAACCAAGACUCCAAAUUCCUAUCCUAGGUAGAACACCCCAUUUGGAGUCACUUUUGUUCUUGGACAAACCCCAAAAAGUGACCAGAAACAGUAGUUCUAGGCGGCCGAAGUUUCGGCCAGAUUUCAAGUCGAAAAUUGAUCGCUUUAGGACUAAAAUCGAUCGAAACCCGUACAUCCAUCAGCUAGAACGUGAAAAAUAGCUGAGAAACCAUACCUUACUCGACCGAUUUGGUGGAAAAUUGAAGGAGAAAAUCGAGCUGGAAGUUCGGGUGGUUUCGGACGAAUCUCCGUCGGAAAACAUGGUUUUCCGAUCAACUCCGAGCGGCCCAAGGGUGGAGGUCGGUCAGGUUUUGACGGCGAGAGGGAGGCAGACCCGAUGGUACCCACGGCGGAGAUCAGCUCGGCCUGUGGUGGCCGGGCCGUCGCCGAGAAGGCGAAGGGUCGCACGGCCAAGUCGCGCGGAAGGAGAGAGAGAGAGAGAGAACUGACGAGGGAGAGGAGAGAGAGAUAAAAAUCUGACUUUUUGACCAAAUUACCGUUUUGCCCUUCGCGGUUUUUAGACCAUAUCUUCUUUGUUACAGCUCCGAUCCGGGUCUACUCCGUGUCCACGAACUCGUUUCGCCGCGCUCUACGCAAUGGCUUAAGCGGAAUGCCCAAAUUCUUUCUCGACUAAAAAGUCAAUUUUCCCCCUAUUAAAUAAUGCGAGGGCAAAAUAGUCUUUUCGCUAGAAGAUAUUUUCCUUACUUUUUAGAUAUUUUCUUUCUUUUUAGAUAUUUUGUUUUGGUUUGUUUUGGGUUCUUACAAUCUACCCCCCUUAUAAAAAUUUCGUCCUCGAAAUUUACAUCCCUGUCAUUCGAAGAGGGGGAAACAUUGCUCCUGUAAGUGCAACUCAGGUUACUACAUUGCAUAAAUCACUGAAAGCUCAUUACGUUCCCUUCCAAACUCUAAAUUUCUUGCUUUCUGCACCUUCUGUAAUCUUAUUGGGUCUGGAAUAGCUAAAAUUUGGCUCCCUUGCUUCCUUGAUUCUCAUUUCACCUUCCUCAGGCGAUAACUAUCGAGAAUACUUAUCUGAAGAUCCUUCUUCUAGUAUCUGCAUAACUUCUUGCCAAUCCUGGAUUACUUAGAGUCUUUUUCUGCUUAAUUCAAUCAGGUUCUUUAUUCCUUACAAUACUUCCAGAUUUCAAUGAACCUUACUUGACAUUCUAUCUUCAUACUUGGGUGAUCCAUACUAUAUCUCGAGUAAGGCAUCUAUUGGAAACAUCUAAUCCAAGGGAAUCCAACAACUGUCACUUAAGGCAUACUCUCAAACCAACAUCUUUUUUUUUUACUCAAAUCGUUCUGAAACUGUAGUACAUUAUGUCCCAAUAACCUUUCCACAAUUUGAGUCAUUUUCUUAAACUGGUCGUCUGUCUAGAGCGAAUUGCGGUAUUAAACUGAAAUCAAGGCCCAAAAGCUUCUUUUACCUGAGUCUAACUGAAACCUAACCUGGAUUUCUAAUUCCAAACUAUAGAGACUGGUAUUCCACUAGCAGGGCCCAGAACGGUACCUACCACAUCUGGCACAUUAGAGCAACUUCUCCUGUUAGAGCCUAUCAACACCUGUCUCUCCAUGUUUUUGGCUACACCGGCCCCAGAACGAUUUGCAAUAUCAUCAUCCUGGCUGGUACCACUACUGAAACUAACUCCAGUUCGAUGGCCUCCAAGCCUGCGGCCGUUCAAUGAUUGGAAACUGUGAUUACCACUGUAGUAUCUCUCUUAAACUUUUCCUGAUUAAAGUUACCUAUCUCCAAAUACUGUGCACAAAGUGCACCCCAUGGUCUGCCCCUUAUCUGGCUGGGGCAGACAUCAUCACGGCCUCAAAAUUGACUAACUAUUAACUGAUCACUAUACCUUGAAUGGAGGCUUUUAACCUGAUCGUAACUAGGUACUACCUCUUACUUUCCAAUCUCUAUUAAUAGAAACCGUACGCGAAACCUUUUUCUCGUAUUCGGGUUCAACCAUUAUCCUCUAUUCUGCUGUAAAAACUCCGGCAUUCACACCUUCUGUAGACUUAUAGAUAUGACUGACUAUCAUAUUCUGCUCCCAAAAUGCUUACUUAGUACGAGUCAAAGGAUUUUAACAUCACUUCUUAACCAAAUCCUGCCCAAAACUUUAUUCUUCUGUGGAACAACCAGGAUCUCUAUGACCUGCUAUAUUUCUUCAACUCAAUCCUCUUUUACUACUAGAUACCACUAUUAUCCCAAUUUAUAGCUCUUGCUCCUGUUUACUUGAUCCACCUAUCUCGCGGAUGGAUCUCUGGCUGACUAAAGCUUGAGCUAACAUCUCCAGGGUCUACUGAGUGUUAGGAUCUCCCUGCCUACUAGGUACAAUAGGUACGUCUCCUGAUCAACCUCUUACAAGAGAUUACUCUGCCGGUUCAGAUACCGGUGCAGUUCCUGUCAUACUUGGAAAUUUCAUCCCCUUACGUCGGGAUAACUAUUUGAUUUUCCUACGGAUACCACCACCAUUUGGGCCCCACUUGAGAAGAGAACGAGGAUGCACAGAGUGCGAAGUCUACAGGAAGUAAAACCUACGCUCUGAUACCAAAUUGACAGGACCCGACCCAAUUUCCGCUUUGGAAUCCGAGUCGAAUCCUGUGCGUGUCCGACAUCUGGCUAAUGUCGGGCACAAAAGACCUUUUUACCCUUCUCGUUUCAAAUUCUUUCCAAAUUUCCCUUAGACUUCUGCCGAAAAUUCGGCAGAGUCUCCCCUGUAUUUUGACAAAUCCCAAAUUCUUCCGCCUGUUAAACAGUCAAUAAAUUCACACCAACUGCCAGAAUAUCUCAAGUAACCAUUCUCAACUCUAGUUUCUCAAUUUUAACUAGAUAUCAGAGCAUUUUCUAAGGCUUUCGAGGUUUCAAGGAUUUUCUUCAAAACUCUACCUUUCUUGAUGGCGCGGAAGCUAUGUAUGGCCCGGUGGUGGAUCCCGC
rnacentral:lncRNA from 1 species